UCCAAACACAAGGUGAGCCCUACCAUGCUGGCUUCUUGUAGUUCUACUUCUAAACGUUCGCAGGUAACUACAGCUCUCAAAGCAGCCAACAAGUACCAGCUGUAGUAUCCUUCAUUCACAGUAGUUAUCCGGUCGCAUAAUCUAUUGAAGUGACAUGCGACUGUCCCAAGCAGGAUUUUAAAGGGACACGUCAAUGGAGGAAUGCAAACCGCAUCUCUUAGAUAGUUGGAUGGAUCAUGGCCAGUGAAGCUCAUGUACUACCCACAACAUGGCCAGGGAAAGCUCUCUGCCGGUUGGGCUGCAUUUCAGAGAGGAACUUCUCAGAAGGAAGGAGUUGUCCAUGCGUUUGAGCUUGCAAGAAUUGAUAAUAUUGAACUCGAAGUCUGCAUUUUCAAAAGGAACGCCAAGUCUUGGGUGUAAACUUCGGUUUGUCUACAGAAAAAUCUUUGCUUCACUAUGUUUUGUUUUUUGUUAGUCAGAUGAAAGAAAGAAAGACUUUUUGCUGCAAGUAAUUGAAUGGUGAUGUAUUUCCUGAUGUUUUUUCGGAGAAUAGUGAACAUUACACCUGGA